CCAGAGAGGGGCAGCAGAGCUGACUGAUGUUUGAAGGACAGUCCAGAGUGAAGAGAAUAGAACAGAGCUUAUUAUCUGACAUUGGACAAGCGUUAAUCACUUUCUAGGCAGUUCCAAUCUUGGGCAUAGAGAGUGCAAAGCCACAAAAUGUAAACCAACUCAUAACAACCUUCUUGCUCCUUGUUGGCACACAGUGAGGGCCAGUCCACCAGUCCCACCUCUUCCGAUUCUCAGGUAAAUGUGGAGUGAAUAUGAAAAUCGUGGAUCUGAAGGGAUUAAAUUUGGCUUAUCAUCACAUCUCCCUGCAGCCCGCCACUCCUCUUGCAUCCCCACACAGGUUGAGACCCGGUUGAUAUUUGGCAGCUGUACCAGAUGUUUCUUGGUUUCAUACAAAAGGUUCAAGACGUAGCGAGCAUGGAGCUGCUACUGGGAGGAAGAGGAGGGAAGGAAGAAAACAACACUGAUAUUCGUG